GGGUUCGAUUCCCACUACCG
rnacentral:tRNA from 1 species